rnacentral:rRNA from 1 species
AGCUCCAAUAGCGUAUAUUAAAGUUGUUGCAGUUAAAAAGCUCGUAGUUGGAUUUCUGGUACGGUGUACCUGGUCCGCCCCUUUUAUGGUGUGUGUGUACCGGAGUGCGCCUGCCAUCCUCCCGGGGAGCGUUGUUGCCUACCCUUCAUUGGGCCGGGCCCGCUACCCGGGUCGUUUACUUUGAAAAAAUUAGAGUGUUCAAAGCAGGCUUACGGCUGUGAAUACAUUAGCAUGGAAUAAUAAGAUAGGACUCUGGUUCUAUUUUGUUGGUUUCUAGGACAAGAGUAAUGAUUGAUAGGGACAGUUGGGGGUGCUCGUAUUGAACGGCCAGAGGUGAAAUUCUUGGAUUCGUUCAAGACGAACUACUGCGAAAGCAUUCACCAAGGAUGUCUUCU